CGGCCAGUUUAUAUUGGUGGAUGAAGCCAGAGUGCCCGGAGAAAACACCCACUGUUGAUUGGCAAGUGGUUACAGUAGUAGAACUUCUUAGACGACUUGACCACCGAAGUUCCCUUUAGUCUUUCGAACAAUUCAAAGUAUUUUAAAGAGUUAAUUUACGAAAAGGUAAUUGUUGGGAAAUCAUCUGCACUAAUCUGAAACGUCAGGGGGGAAUUAUCUUCAUCUUUUAUAUAACCUUUGGAUUUUACAUAUUUUGGCCACGAGCAUCAGUGAAGAGGCAUGUAUUGUCGAAUCUGGUGCAGAAAAAAUGGUACCGUUAAUGUUAUGAACUGCCUUAGGUUGAAUAAUGGUUUACAAAGUAUUAUAAGUAUUAAUAAAACCAAGCUUAUUAUUUAUAGAUAUUUUGAUGUUUC
rnacentral:lncRNA from 1 species